AGCUAGAGAGUGAGAGGAAGUUUUGUUUAAGUCCAGCAAGAAGAACUACAAUCUCAGCUCUUUCCAGCAGGGACGUCGUCGCACGUCAAGUAAGACCAAGUCAAGGAACUUUCAAAUCAAGGAAUUAAGCUCUGAGGUUGAACGUGAACGAGGAGGUGAAGGUGUUGGGAAAUGACUAUUAAUAAGUAGUUAGGUAGCCCAAAGUAGUAUGUCUUCAUACAUACUAUUUUGUCUUGGACUCUUCCGAUGCAAUAGAACUAUGUUCUAGGAAUUUAUGAAUUUAGUUUAGAUACUUUGAUUUUCUUUUGACUAUG